rnacentral:rRNA from 1 species
ACCGCAUCCCGUCUGAUCUGCGCAGUUAAACACAGUGCCGCCUAGUUAGUACCAUGGUGGGGGACCACAUGGGAAUCCUGGGUGCUGUGGUUUUUUGUUUUUAUUAUAUAGUGAUUCAGUAAUAAAGUGAAUAAGUAGUAAAGUCAAUCAAUGUAUUUGAUCAAAUCUCAAAUCAAUCAUUUCAUGAUAUGAAGGACGGAGUUGACAUACAGUGAUAAGAAAGCAAGACAAGCUCCUGGGCUUGUUUGUUUGAGACUUUAUACCGAGGUACAUACACCAGGCUAUUAAGGAAAUGGUAUUCUAGGUGUCUACGGUAUUAAUUUCUCAAAAUAUGAGGUCGGAUGCCGGACUUGUAUGGGAGGAGUAAUUUGUGGACACCUUUUUCACGCCCAUCGCUCGCGGCAACACAAUAUGACCAAACAGACCAGGUUUCCUAUUAUAUGAGGGGAACACAUGAACGGGCAGUCAGUCUUAAUGACCGGCUGGUUUAGUAGUGUUAGUACACCUUUAUUUUGGGUUACUACCUAAGAGAGGAAGGCAUGAACGGGUGGCUAGACUAAGUGGUCUACGCUGGUUUAGUAGUGCUGGUACACUCGUGGCAGUCAUAUUGGAUUUGUUAUUGGGUUAUCUGGGGUUUGUUCUAGUGGAACCAAUUGUUGGCUGGGCAGAAAAGUUUACCAGCUCCUGGGCUUGUUUGUGAAGGCUUUAUGCCGAGAUACAUACACCAGGCUAUUAAGGAAAUGGUAUUCUAGGUGUCUACGGUAUUAAUUUCUCAAAAUAUGAGGUCGGAUGCCGGACUUGUAUGGGAGGAGUAAUUUGUGGACACCUUUUUCACGCCCAUCGCUCGCGGCAACACAACAUGACCAAACAGACCGGGUUUCCUAUUAUAUGAGGGGAACACAUGAACGGGCAGUCAGUCUAAGUGACCGGCUGGUUUAGUAGUGUUAGUACGUUCAUAGCAGUGAUAUUGGGGAGUUGAAAGCUAGACCCUUCCAGGUCUUGUCUAGUAGGCUCCUCAGCUUUCAUUGGGGGUUGGCUGGCUGUCCCUUGACCGAGUUAUUGAAACGUCUGUCCAGCAGACUGUCACUGGCUUGGAACGGGAGAAGCUUGGUAGUUCUGAAGGCUUUCGAGCCCUUCAGGCCAGAAUUUGAAGUCAAGUAUCUUUUUGAUGCUUGCAAAGUGUGAAGCGGUGUGGACUACUUGCUGAUGGCCAAGCCUGUAAGCAAUUAGCAAUUCGAGAAUCCGCCGUGGCUGCUUGUGGCUGCUCAUUUGUUUGAGCAGUUGCCAGCCAUUUGGUAGUUCUCUCUGAGGGGUACAAUCUUUGUUGCUUCUGCGACAGAGAGAAGUAGUCCGAAAUUUGUGGGACUGGGGAACAAGGCUUGGCUCAAUUGCUGGCUGGUGACUGCGAGUAAAGUAGUGUUUUACUAUUUGAAUGCUUUCUCUGGUUGCUUUUGGGUCUAUUCAACUCGAAGUUGACGAACUCCUGACCGGGAAAGCAGCCGUUUGUGCUGUGAAUACUGGGAAAGCUGUGCCUUUUAGGUGCAGUGCCGGAAAGUAGUUACCUGGUUGAUUCUGCCAGU